CCUACGGGAGGCAGCAGUGGGGAAUUUUGGACAAUGGGCGAAAGCCUGAUCCAGCAAUGCCGCGUGCAGGAUGAAGGCCCUCGGGUUGUAAGCUGCUUUUGUACGGAACGAAAAGCCUGGGGCUAAUAUCCCCGGGUCAUGACGGUACCGUAAGAAUAAGCACCGGCUAACUACGUGCCAGCAGCCGCGGUAAUACGUAGGGUGCAAGCGUUAAUCGGAAUUACUGGGCGUAAAGCGUGCGCAGGCGGUUUUGUAAGACAGUGGUGAAAUCCCCGGGCUCAACCUGGGAACUGCCAUUGUGACUGCAAGGCUAGAGUGCGGCAGAGGGGGAUGGAAUUCCGCGUGUAGCAGUGAAAUGCGUAGAUAUGCGGAGGAACACCGAUGGCGAAGGCAAUCCCCUGGGCCUGCACUGACGCUCAUGCACGAAAGCGUGGGGAGCAAACAGGAUUAGAUACCCUGGUAGUCCACGCCCUAAACGAUGUCAACUGGUUGUUGGGUCUUAACUGACUCAGUAACGAAGCUAACGCGUGAAGUUGACCGCCUGGGGAGUACGGCCGCAAGGUUGAAACUCAAAUGAAUUGACGGGG
rnacentral:rRNA from 1 species